AAAAAAACAGGUUCUCAACAAUAUCCUAGGAUCGUUGCAGGUAAAACUCGAAGAAUCAUGACGAGCAAUAUUCCUCCGGUCUUCUUCGAUCACCAGUUCGAAGAGCCGUGGUUCAACCAUCCGAUGCAAAUGCCAGCGCCGAGCCAAAGCCAAAGCCAAGAAGAGCAAUUACACCGUUCGAAAAGACCGAGGUUUUCAAGCUUCCCUCCCGCGGACGUCGUGCCUCAAAACCCUAACCCUAGCGCUAACCCUACCUCGUCGAUAUUCUUCAAGACGAGACCAUGCAAGAUGUUCGACCAGGGCCACUGCCCGCACGGGCAAAACUGCACCUUCGCGCACGGGCCUCAGGAUCUUCCGCCAGCCGCACAAAUGGCGAGAGUUCGUCGCGAGAGACUCGUCGUUCGCUAGGGUUUGCGCAGGCGGGGAGGUGUCUUCGCAUGGCGAUAGCCCUAGGGUUUUUGGUAGUUUUGGCGGGGGUGGGCAUGGCAACGAUAAGAGAUCGAUGUUUUGGAAGACGAGGCUUUGUCACAAGUUUGAGAAGUCCGGGCAUUGCACGUAUGGAGAUGCUUGUCAAUAUGCUCAUGGGUUAGCAGAGCUAAAGAAGCUUGGAGCUGAUACGAACACAAGAAGAGCAAGUUUCGAAAUAACUCCUUCAAAGUGUCCUCCAGAAGUGGCUC